GCUCGACGGGGAAGCGGUACAUCCGCAG
rnacentral:sRNA from 1 species